rnacentral:rRNA from 3 species
GAAUGCUGACAUAAGUAACGAUAAAGCGGGUGAAAAGCCCGCUCGCCGGAAGACCAAGGGUUCCUGUCCAACGUUAAUCGGGGCAGGGUGAGUCGACCCCUAAGGCGAGGCCGAAAGGCGUAGUCGAUGGGAAACGGGUUAAUAUUCCCGUACUUGGUGUUACUGCGAAGGGGGGACGGAGAAGGCUAUGUUGGCCGGGCGACGGUUGUCCCGGUUUAAGCGUGUAGGUGUGUGUUCCAGGUAAAUCCGGUUCACUUUAACACUGAGGCGUGACGACGAGGCACUACGGUGCUGAAGCAACAAAUGCCCUGCUUCCAGGAAAAGCCUCUAAGCAUCAGGUAACAUCAAAUCGUACCCCAAACCGACACAGGUGGUCAGGUAGAGAAUACCAAGGCGCUUGAGAGAACUCGGGUGAAGGAACUAGGCAAAAUGGUGCCGUAACUUCGGGAGAAGGCACGCUGACACGUAGGUGAAGUGAUUUACUCAUGGAGCUGAAGUCAGUCGAAGAUACCAGCUGGCUGCAACUGUUUAUUAAAAACACAGCACUGUGCAAACACGAAAGUGGACGUAUACGGUGUGACGCCUGCCCGGUGCCGGAAGGUUAAUUGAUGGGGUCAGCGCAAGCGAAGCUCCUGAUCGAAGCCCCGGUAAACGGCGGCCGUAACUAUAACGGUCCUAAGGUAGCGAAAUUCCUUGUCGGGUAAGUUCCGACCUGCACGAAUGGCGUAAUGAUGGCCAGGCUGUCUCCACCCGAGACUCAGUGAAAUUGAACUCGCUGUGAAGAUGCAGUGUACCCGCGGCAAGACGGAAAGACCCCGUGAACCUUUACUAUAGCUUGACACUGAACAUUGAGCCUUGAUGUGUAGGAUAGGUGGGAGGCUUUGAAGUGUGGACGCCAGUCUGCAUGGAGCCGACCUUGAAAUACCACCCUUUAAUGUUUGAUGUUCUAACGUGGACCCGUUACCCGGGUUGCGGACAGUGUCUGGUGGGUAGUUUGACUGGGGCGGUCUCCUCCUAAAGAGUAACGGAGGAGCACGAAGGUUGGCUAAUCCUGGUCGGACAUCAGGAGGUUAGUGCAAUGGCAUAAGCCAGCUUGACUGCGAGCGUGACGGCGCGAGCAGGUGCGAAAGCAGGUCAUAGUGAUCCGGUGGUUCUGAAUGGAAGGGCCAUCGCUCAACGGAUAAAAGGUACUCCGGGGAUAACAGGCUGAUACCGCCCAAGAGUUCAUAUCGACGGCGGUGUUUGGCACCUCGAUGUCGGCUCAUCACAUCCUGGGGCUGAAGUAGGUCCCAAGGGUAUGGCUGUUCGCCAUUUAAAGUGGUACGCGAGCUGGGUUUAGAACGUCGUGAGACAGUUCGGUCCCUAUCUGCCGUGGGCGCUGGAGAACUGAGGGGGGCUGCUCCUAGUACGAGAGGACCGGAGUGGACGCAUCACUGGUGUUCGGGUUGUCAUGCCAAUGGCACUGCCCGGUAGCUAAAUGCGGAAGAGAUAAGUGCUGAAAGCAUCUAAGCACGAAACUUGCCCCGAGAUGAGUUCUCCCUGAGACUUUAGGUCUCCUGAAGGAACGUUGAAGACGACGACGUUGAUAGGCCGGGUGUGUAAGCGCAGCGAUGCGUUGAGCUAACCGGUACUAAUGAACCGUGAGGCUUAACCUU